rnacentral:rRNA from 1 species
UACGGGGGGUGCAAGCGUUGUCCGGAAUCACUGGGCGUAAAGGGCGCGUAGGUGGUUUGAUAAGGCUGUGGUGAAAGCCCGGGGCUCAACCCCGGGUCUGCCAUGGCGACUGUCAGACUGGAGGGCUCGAGAGGCAGACGGAAUUCCGGGUGUAGCGGUGGAAUGCGUAGAGAUCCGGAAGAAGACCGGUGGCGAAGGCGGUCUGCUGGCGAGUACCUGACACUGAGGCGCGACAGCGUGGGGAGCAAACAGGAUUAGAUACCCUGGUAGUCCACGCCGUAAACGAUGGGCACUAGGCGCUUGGGGGAGCGACCCUCUGAGGGCCGGCGCUAACGCAUGAAGUGCCCCGCCUGGGGAGUACGGCCGCAAGGCUGAA